rnacentral:rRNA from 1 species
AGUCGACGAACACUUUACCUGAUUUCCUUCGGGGAUGAUUGUUCUGUGACUGAGUGGCGGACGGGUGAGUAACGCGUGGAUAACCUGCCUCACACAGGGGGAUAACAGUUGGAAACGGCUGCUAAUACCGCAUAAGCGCACAGCACCGCAUGGUGCAGUGUGAAAAACUCCGGUGGUGUGAGAUGGAUCCGCGUCUGAUUAGCUUGUUGGCGGGGUAACGGCCCACCAAGGCGACGAUCAGUAGCCGGCCUGAGAGGGCGACCGGCCACAUUGGGACUGAGACACGGCCCAGACUCCUACGGGAGGCAGCAGUGGGGAAUAUUGCACAAUGGGGGGAACCCUGAUGCAGCGACGCCGCGUGAGCGAUGAAGUAUUUCGGUAUGUAAAGCUCUAUCAGCAGGGAAGAUAAUGACGGUACCUGACUAAGAAGCUCCGGCUAAAUACGUGCCAGCAGCCGCGGUAAUACGUAUGGAGCAAGCGUUAUCCGGAUUUACUGGGUGUAAAGGGAGCGUAGGCGGUCCUGCAAGUCUGAUGUGAAAGGCCGGGGCUCAACCCCGGGACUGCAUUGGAAACUGUAGGACUAGAGUGUCGGAGGGGUAAGUGGAAUUCCUAGUGUAGCGGUGAAAUGCGUAGAUAUUAGGAGGAACACCAGUGGCGAAGGCGGCUUACUGGACGACUACUGACGCUGAGGCUCGAAAGCGUGNGGAGCAAACAGGANUAGAUACCCUGGUAGUCCACGCCGU